rnacentral:rRNA from 1 species
CACGCAGUAAACGAUGAUUACUAGGAGUUUGCGCUAGACAGUAAGCUCCCGAGCGAAAGCGUUAAGUAAUCCACCUGGGGAGUACGCCGGCAACGGUGAAACUCAAAGGAAUUGACGGGGGCCCGCACAAGCGGAGGAACAUGUGGUUUAAUUCGAUGAUACGCGAGGAACCUUACCCGGGAUUGAACGUAAGGGGAAUAAUGUCAAAAGAUGUUAGCUAGCAAUAGCAACUUACGAGGUGC